AGUGAACGCUGGCGGUAGGCCUAACACAUGCAAGUCGAACGGCAGCACAGUAAGAGCUUGCUCUUACGGGUGGCGAGUGGCGGACGGGUGGGGAAUACAUCGGAAUCUACUUUUUCGUGGGGGAUAACGUGGGGAAACUUACGCUAAUACCGCAUACGACCUACGGGUGAAAGCAGGGGAUCUUCGGACCUUGCGCGAUUGAAUGAGCCGAUGUCGGAUUAGCUAGUUGGCGGGGUAAAGGCCCACCAAGGCGACGAUCCGUAGCUGGUCUGAGAGGAUGAUCAGCCACACUGGAACUGAGACACGGUCCAGACUCCUACGGGAGGCAGCAGUGGGGAAUAUUGGACAAUGGGCGCAAGCCUGAUCCAGCCAUACCGCGUGGGUGAAGAAGGCCUUCGGGUUGUAAAGCCCUUUUGUUGGGAAAGAAAAGCAGCAGGUUAAUACCCCGCUGUUCUGACGGUACCCAAAGAAUAAGCACCGGCUAACUUCGUG
rnacentral:rRNA from 1 species